rnacentral:rRNA from 1 species
GGAUAACCUACCCUUAGGACCGGGAUAACCCUGGGAAACUGGGGAUAAUACUGGAUAGGCAAUUAUUCCUGGAAUGGUUUUUUGUUUAAAUGUUUUUUCGCCUAAGGAUGGGUCUGCGGCCGAUUAGGUAGUUGGUUAGGUAACGGCUUACCAAGCCAUUGAUCGGUACGGGUUGUGAGAGCAAGAGCCCGGAGAUGGAACCUGAGACAAGGUUCCAGGCCCUACGGGGUGCAGCAGGCGCGAAACCUCCGCAAUGUGAGAAAUCGCGACGGGGGGAUCCCAAGUGCCAUUCUUAACGGGAUGGCUUUUCAUUAGUGUAAAGAGCUUUUGGAAUAAGGGCUGGGCAAGACCGGUGCCAGCCGCCGCGGUAACACCGGCAGCUCUAGUGGUAGCAGUUUUUAUUGGGCCUAAAGCGUCCGUAGCCGGUUUAAUAAGUCUCUGGUGAAAUCCUGUAGCUUAACUGUGGGAAUUGCUGGAGAUACUAUUAGACUUGAGACCGGGAGAGGUUAGAGGUACUCCCAGGGUAGAGGUGAAAUUCUGUAAUCCUGGGAGGACCGCCUGUUGCGAAGGCGUCUAACUGGAACGGUUCUGACGGUGAGGGACGAAAGUUAGGGGCGCGAACCGGAUUAGAUACCCGGGUAGUCCUAACUGUAAACGAUGCGGACUUGGUGUUGGGGUGGCUUUGAGCUGCUCCAGUGCCGAAGGGAAGCUGUUAAGUCCGCCGCCUGGGAAGUACGGUCGCAAGACUGAAACUUAA